rnacentral:rRNA from 1 species
UACGUAGGCAGCAAGCGUUGUUCGGAAUUACUGGGCGUAAAGAGUGUGUAGGCGGUGUUCCAAGUCUGUCGUGAAAUCUCCCGGCUUAACUGGGAGGGUGCGGCGGAAACUGGAAUGCUUGAGUAUGGGAGAGGAAAGCGGAAUUCCUGGUGUAGCGGUGAAAUGCGUAGAUAUCAGGAGGAACACCUGUGGUGUAGACAGCUUUCUGGACCAUCACUGACGCUGAGACACGAAAGCGUGGGUAGCAAACAGG